rnacentral:rRNA from 1 species
UACGUAGGUUGCGAGCGUUAAUCGGAAUUACUGGGCGUAAAGGGUGUGUAGGCGGUUCGGAAAGAAGGAUGUGAAAUUCCAGGGCUUAACCUUGGGACGGCAUUUUUAACUACCGGGCUAGAGUGUGUCAGAGGGAGGUGGAAUUCCGCGUGUAGCAGUGAAAUGCGUAGAGAUGCGGAGGAACACAGAUGGCGAAGGCAGCCUCCUGGGAUGACACUGACGCUGAGGCACGAAAGCGUGGGGAGCAAACAGG